UGCCCAAUGUGGGGCAUGAACCCAAGACCCUGAGAAUAAGGGUCUCAUGCUCUAGCGACUGAGCUAACUGAAUGGC
rnacentral:tRNA from 1 species